rnacentral:rRNA from 1 species
CCUACGGGAGGCAGCAGUGGGGAAUAUUGGACAAUGGGCGAAAGCCUGAUCCAGCCAUGCCGCGUGUGUGAAGAAGGCCUUCGGGUUGUAAAGCACUUUCAGUGGGGAAGAAAGCCUUGGGGCUAAUACCCUCGAGGAAGGACAUCACCCACAGAAGAAGCACCGGCUAACUCCGUGCCAGCAGCCGCGGUAAUACGGAGGGUGCGAGCGUUAAUCGGAAUUACUGGGCGUAAAGCGCGCGUAGGCGGUCUGAUAAGCCGGUUGUGAAAGCCCCGGGCUCAACCUGGGAACGGCAUCCGGAACUGUCAGGCUAGAGGGCAGGAGAGGAAGGUAGAAUUCCCGGUGUAGCGGUGAAAUGCGAAGAGAUCGGGAGGAAUACCAGUGGCGAAGGCGGCCUUCUGGACUGACACUGACGCUGAGGUGCGAAAGCGUGGGUAGCAAACAGGAUUAGAUACCCUUGUAGUC